rnacentral:lncRNA from 1 species
GAGAUAAAGCUAAAUGAAGCCAUGUAUUAGACUGUUGGUGAUAUUCAGAAGAAAAAGAACCAAAUUUCUUAGCUUUCCCGAGUUUACAUUAUCAGAUAGAAGAAUACCAGAGGAAGUGAGAGAGAAAAGGAAAGAGAGCCUCUAGAAAGUUGAGAGAGAGAGCAAAAAACCCAAGGACUAUUCGACAGUUUUUCUCUUAAGCGUGUAAAUAAAGGAAAAGAAAAAAAAAAUGAGGUGUUUUAUGAUAAACUUUUAUGGGGUCAUUACUCCUUACGCGCUGGGGUGAGGUGGAGUGGGGGUG